UUUUAUAAUUUAGUUAAUUUAAUUAUAUAAAUUAUGUAAAGUUUUAUAAAUUUUAAAAUGUUUUAGUAUUAAUUAUGAAAUAAUAAUUUUAUUAAUAGAUAAAGUAAUGUAAAUGAAUUUAUUUAAAAAUAUAUAAGUAAAAUAGAUUUUGUACCUUUUGUAUCAGGGUUAAUUUAUAUAAUUUAAUUAAUUUAAUAAUCUCGAAAAAAAAAGAGUUAAAUAUAUAAGAAUUUUUUUGUUACAUAAAAAUUUAUAAUAUAUAUUUAGAAAUUAAAUGUUAUUCGAGUUUUUUUAUAUCUAGUUUUUUUUGAAAUAAAUUUAAUUUAUAUAUAAAUAUUAUAAAAAAUUUAUUUAAUAAUUUUUUAUAUUUUUAUAUAAAAAAUUUAUGGGAUAAACUAUAAAUUUAAAUAUAUAAUUUUAUAUAAUUAUUUAUUAAUUAUAUUGAUUUAGAAAUAAUUUUUAUUUAUAAGUAUUUAAUAAUUUAAUAUUAUAUAAUUUUAAAGAUUUAUAUAUUAUGAAUAAAUAUAUGAAUAUAUAAAUAUAUAUUUAUUAAAAAAAAAUAAUUUUUAAUUUGUUUAAAUUAAAUAUAAUGAUUAAAUUAGUAAUAUAAUUAAAAUUAAUAUUUUAUUAAAUAAUAUAUAUAUAUAUAUAUAUAAGGAAUUAGGCAAUUUAAAUAUAUCCACCUGUUUAUCAAAAACAUGGCUUAAUGAUAAUAAUUUUAGGUCGAUCUGCCCAAUGAUUAAUAAUUAAAUGGCUGCAGUAUAUUUGACUGUACAAAGGUAGCAUAAUCAAUUGUUUUUUAAUUAAGAACUGGAAUGAAAGAAUUAAUGAGAUAUAUACUGUCUCAUAUAUAUAUAAUGAAUUUAAAUUUUUAGUUAAAAUGCUUAAAUAAUUUUAUGGGACGAUAAGACCCUAUAGAAUUUUAUAUUAAUUAUAAUUAUAAAAUUUAUUUUAUUAUUAUAUUAAUAUUUAGUUGGGAGGAUUAGUAAAUUUAGUAAACUUUAUUUUAAAUUUAAACUUUGAUUAAAGAAUAUUUUUUUGAUCUUGUAUUAUGAAUAAAAAGAAAAAAAUUACCUUAGGGAUAACAGCGUAAUAUCUUUUUAAAGGUCAUAUUAAUAAAGAUGAUUGCGACCUCGAUGUUGAAUUAAGAUAAAUUUUAGAUGAAGAAGUUUAAAAAUUAAGUCUGUUCGACUUUUAAAAUCUUACAUGAUUUGAGUUCAAAUCGACGUAAGUCAGAUUGGUUUUUAUCUAUAAAUAAAAAUAAGUUAUUUGUACGAAAGGACUAUAAUUUAUAAUUAUAUUAUGUUUUUUUAAUAAAUAUAUUUAUAUUAAUAUUAUAUUAGCAUAUUAGUGCAUUAAAU
rnacentral:rRNA from 1 species